rnacentral:rRNA from 1 species
GAUGAACGCUGGCGGCGUGCCUAAUACAUGCAAGUCGAGCGAACGGACGAGAAGCUUGCUUCUCUGAUGUUAGCGGCGGACGGGUGAGUAACACGUGGAUAACCUACCUAUAAGACUGGGAUAACUUCGGGAAACCGGAGCUAAUACCGGAUAAUAUUUUGAACCGCAUGGUUCAAAAGUAAAAGACGGUCUUGCUGUCACAUAUAGAUGGAUCCGCGCUGCAUUAGCUAGUUGGUAAGGUAACGGCUUACCAAGGCAACGAUGCAUAGCCGACCUGAGAGGAUGAUCGGCCACACUGGAACUGAGACACGGUCCAGACUCCUACGGGAGGCAGCAGUAGGGAAUCUUCCGCAAUGGGCGAAAGCCUGACGGAGCAACGCUGCGUGAGUGAUGAAGGUCUUCGGAUCGUAAAACUCUGUUAUUAGGGAAGAACAUAUGUGUAAGUAACUGUGCACAUCUUGACGGUACCUAAUCAGAAAGCCACGGCUAACUACGUG